rnacentral:pre_miRNA from 1 species
UGUGGAAACGGUUACGAGAGACUGUUUCGUUUCCAUCAUCAGCUCUCGUAUCUCUGUUUCCAUCUC